rnacentral:rRNA from 1 species
ACAGCAGUAGCCGCGGUAAUACGAAGGGUGCAAGCGUUAAUAGGAAUUACUGGGCGUAAAGGGUGCGUAGGCGGUUGUUUAAGUCUGUUGUGAAAUCCCCGGGCUCAACCUGGGAAUGGCAGUGGAUACUGGCAAGCUAGAGUGUGUCAGAGGAUGGUGGAAUUCCCGGUGUAGCGGUGAAAUGCGUAGAGAUCGGGAGGAACAUCAGUGGCGAAGGCGGCCAUCUGGGACAACACUGACGCUGAGGCACGAAAGCGUGGGGAGCAAACAGGAUUAGAUACCCGCGUAGUCCCUGUCUCUUAUAC